rnacentral:rRNA from 1 species
GAUGAACGCUGGCGGCGUGCCUAAUACAUGCAAGUCGAGCGAACAGACGAGUAGCUUUCUUCUCUGACGUUAGCGGCGGACGGGUUAGUAACGCGUGGAUCCCCUACCUAUAAGACUGGGAUCACUUCGUGAAACCGGAGCUCAUACCGGAUAAUGUAUUGAACGGCAGGGUUCAAUAGUGAACGACGGUUUUGCUGCCACUUAUGGAUGGGUCCGCGCCGGAUUAGCUAGUUGGUAAGGUAACGGCUUACCAAGGCAACGAUGCGUAGCCGCACUGAGAGGGUGAUCGGCCACACUGGAACUGAGACACGGCCCAGACUCCUACGGGAGGCAGCAGUAGGGAAUCUUGCACAAUGGGCGAAAGCCUGACGCAGCAACGCCGCGUGAAGGAUGAAGGCCUUCGGAUUGUAAAACGCUUUUAUUAGGGAAGAACAAAUGUGUAAGUAAAUAGACACGUCAUGACGGUACCGUAUCAGAAAGCCACGGCUAACUACGUG